rnacentral:rRNA from 1 species
UGUUGUUUUUCCAAAAAUCAAUUACGAAUGGCUUGAUUUUGUGUUGUAUUGACCUUGUCAGCUUUCUGCACUUUUUUCGAGUCUUUCUUAAUGCACUUUUUGGUUAACAAGUCAACAUCAAUUUCUUUUGUUGUAAAAGAGUAUUCGGAAGGUGGCUUUCUUUUCGGAGAAAGUGUUUAUAGCCCUAUACUUCUACAAUCGGAGAGAUUGAGGUCCGCAGCGUAGAUCCUUCGGGGUUAGAUACACUUGUGCUAAGUUGUAGCUUUUCAUAGACAACUUGUUGACUAUGUUUAGUCAUGCGGCUUACUCGCUUGUGCUAUUUUACCUAC